rnacentral:lncRNA from 1 species
UUGAAUGUCCCAAAACCUUGCGACCUUGUUUUUUGCCAAGUAAAUAAAACCCACUAGAAACGCUAAAGGUGGUGUUCCCCAAGUACAAGCACAGUAAUACAAAAGGAUAUAGUUUUAAUAAAAGUCGCUCUAGUUUUAAAAGUUCCUAGAGCGAACUCUCCCAUAAAAAAACUCAAAAGGCACAAUGGAUCUUGAAAACACCUUAUGAUUCCAAAAGACACUCUUCCUUCAAAAUAGCAGUUUUGUUCUAUCAAAAUAGCAGGUCUGUUCCUUAAAAAUUGUCAGUCGCCACUUUCACCCCGUGCUAGUCCUGCAACAUCUCACUCAUUGAUCUUGUCAUCACCAAUAGAUGCAACAUUGCGGGAAAACAACUGUCCAUAAACUCCUUGGGAACCUCAUAAUGAAGCAAAUGGUCGACCACCUCCAACGUAAGACUGCUUGCGAGUCGAUGUCCACUAUUCUAUAAAUUAUUUUGAACAAGGAUUAUAUGCAUAUUGUCCCAAAAUGAGAUUUCAGUUUCACUUUUAGAAUGUCUCAAAUUGCCUACUUUUAAAAUCACUAUCUCAAAGUUCUCUUUUUAUUUUGAGUAAGAAAUUAAGAAUUAUACUCCUAAUGUUACCACUUGCCACUUUGCCAAAACACACUUUCCACUUUGCCUUGUUUUGGAAAAUAAAUAAAUAUAGGGUGGAGUCCAGAAAAGGAAGUUUGGAAGUGUAUAAAACUUUUACACCUUUCACAUAAGUUUGUUUAGAAAGUGGUUGGAAUCUAAAUGGAGACAUCUUGAUUCGGAUAGGCUUGGAGGUUUUGCUUAUUUAUAUUUAAAAUUGCUUGAAAAUUGAUUUCUUCAUCCGUUUCUUGAAAUUACUCUUCAAAUGUCUUUUACUUAUUUCAAAGUUUUGUUGCAAAGACAUUUUGAAGAUAUUAUUAUACUUAUUGAAGUUGUGUGGGUUUUUAUUAUUAGAAUUUUUUUAGUGUAAGAGUGGAUUUUUUUAGUUUGUUGCAAAGACAUUUUGGAAGCACAGCUAUUUAGCCUAGUUUGUAUUGUUCUUUGGAACUACUGUUUCUUUUUUUAUGUUUCCUUCAAUAAAGCGUGAUAAGAAUUGUUUGUUCAAUUUUUUUAUACUUGAAAUACUAUUUUUUUAAACUUGGUGAUGAAUUUCCAGUUGUUGACUUGUAUUAAUCUUUGGUAAAUUGUUCCACAUAUCAUAUUUCUGUGCGUGUGUUUGUCUAAUAUACUUUGUCUUUGAGCAUGCGGAUGGAGUAUGUAUGUUCAGGAGCACCUAGGUUUUUUUGUUUCUGGUUUUACUUCAAAUGGUGUAAAUAUAAUUUUCUUGUUCAAACUGAAUGCAAAUUAAUUAAUCUGUUAAAUAUUAAUCUAUUGCAAAUCUUUGUGAAGAGAGAGAGUUGUUUAAUUGUUAAUCUAGAAUUGAAGAAGCUCAGAGCGGAGAGAGAAAUAAUAGUCCUAUCUAGGAAAGAGGGAAACAUGAAACCUCAAUUAAGGACAACCUUUUGGUUCAUUUGAAUAUUAGAGAUUGCAAUGCUUUUAAAGCACUAAACUAACAUUUGAUGCUUAGAUUGAAGCGACACUUUGAACUUAAGCAUUCCUUUGCAAACCAUAUUACCUGAAUGACCACAAGCAUGCUGGAGUGCAGCAAAAUCCUGCCAUCUUAGAGAGUUAGAGUUAGGCUGAAUUUCAUGAGCCUGCUUGCUGUAACAAUCUAUUGGUAUGAAACCUCCUAUCUAGAGC